UAGGCUACUACUACUAUCUCUCAUCUUUGUAAAAGCCUAAAAGAUAUGAAUUCUCUUGGAGGCUACAAGGUUUAAUCCGAAAAUGGAAUUGAACACAGAGACAUGGACUACUAUCACACAUCAGGUAAGACGAUCAUAACCUUUGAACUAUGAUACAGCACAGAGAAAAUUAAAAGCCUGAGGAAUCACCUUUUCAUGAAUUUGUCAGUUGUCAAUGAUGUAUGCUGUUUUGAAGACUUCAAAUCACUGGACAAUAGGUGCUUGAGUCAUUAAUA